rnacentral:rRNA from 1 species
AGUCACUGACAUUAGAUACCCCUGUAGUCCAGGGUGUAAACGCUGCAGACUUGGUGUUGGGGCCCUUUGGGGGCAUUCAGUGCCGGAGAGAAGUUGUUAAGUCUGCUACUUGGGAGUACGUCCGCAAGGAUGAAACUUAAAGGAAUUGGCGGGGGAGCACCGCAACGGGAGGAGCGUGCGGUUUAAUUGGAUUCAACACCGUAAAACUCACCAGGGAAGACUGUUACAUGAAAGCCGAGAUGAAGACUCUGCUAGAUUUUCAG